rnacentral:rRNA from 1 species
GAGCCAGACUCCUACGGGAGGCAGCAGUGGGGAAUAUUGCACAAUGGGGGAAACCCUGAUGCAGCGACGCCGCGUGAGUGAAGAAGUCUUUCGGUAUGUAAAGCUCUAUCAGCAGGGAAGAAAAUGACGGUACCUGACUAAGAAGCCCCGGCUAACUACGUGCCAGCAGCCGCGGUAAUACGUAGGGGGCAAGCGUUAUCCGGAUUUACUGGGUGUAAAGGGGGCGCAGACGGCAGCGCAAGCCAGGAGUGAAAGCCCGGGGCCCAACCCCGGGACUGCUCUUGGAACUGCGCGGCUGGAGUGCAGGAGGGGCAGGCGGAAUUCCUGGUGUAGCGGUGAAAUGCGUAGAUAUCAGGAGGAACACCGGUGGCGAAGGCGGCCUGCUGGACUGCGACUGACGUUGAGGCCCGAAAGCGUGGGGAGCAAACAGGAUUAGAUACCCCCGUA